UUGAACUUUGACAGGGGUGUGGUAGGUUAAUUACAAAGACCACAAAUCCAAAUUGCCGUAACUUUUUCUCUCAAUGACUGAAGCUAACGUUACCAAAGCUAACGUCAAGAAACUUACAUGAGAAGAUGAUGUGAUGAAAGGAGAGAGUCGUUUGAUUAAACACAUCAGUCUUCUUGCCUGGACCUGACCCCUACCCCUGCUCCGCUCCUAUUGAGCCUGGAUUCAGAACUUCUACUCCUGGAUCUCUGGACUCCCUGCUGGAUCAAAAUUCACUUCCAGGAUCUCUGGACUCUUAUCUACUCCCACUGCCGCCCCCACUUCCCUGCCUGGAUCCGCUCACUCUGCUGUUCUUGGCUCAAGCCCGGACUUUCCCUAGACCCAUAGACUCUGCGCAUAAUUACUUUAAGCAUUGUACCAAUAAAUUCAACUUGAACUGAA